ACGUUAAGAUGAAAACACGCCGCUCGGUCCGCCGUUAUCGUGCUACCGGUACUUUUAGGGCGAUCCUGGUUCGAUAGGCGGGGAUUCUCUAUGUCACUCCGCAUAACACACGCCAAGUCGUCCUGUUUAUAAAAUGCUGCUAUCUGCGGGGGGAGGGAAAUCUAUAGAAGAGGCACCUUGGUUCAUUGCUAGCGAUAUUGUUUUUUUUUUUUUUUUUUUUUUUGUAAGUUCGCUCAAAAGCAAAUUGACUUGUUGCCUCCGCUGCUGACUUGAUCCAAGUCGGUAACCUCGUUAUUAAACCGUUUCUUUGCCGGGUCAGGACACAUAAUAUAACGAGGUGUCGAUUCCCCGACGAAGGCGUUUAAAUAAACGCCGAUCGAUCUCGCCCCGGCUCUCCAAAGGAAGCCUGUGCUCCCCGCUCGCCGGCUUCCCCUGGAUCCCUGCCAGGCAUGCCCACACACUCGUCUACCUGACAAGCUCUUCCUCAUCCACUGCUAUUGUGUGGACUGAAACUGAUUAUUGCAAAGGACAAAAAUCAGUAAAGAAACCGGCGGACGAUUCACAAGUGAGCCCUGAUUGGUUGGGUGGAGCCUGAAAAAAAAAUGUUGACUGGAAAACUGGAUUCCAAAGGCAAGCAGGCACCAGCAGAGGGAGGGGCCGACACAAACAGAGGAGCUGUGAUAGCCAACUGGGCCAUACCGAAUUAACGCAUGAAGGAACCUGCUUAGACUCACCUACACUGGCCUGGGGGGGGAGGGUUAAUGAAUCAAAUGCAUUGCCACCAUCUGGGAAUACUGGGCACUCUUUCAAAAAUUAUUUUUGUUAAAACCUACUGGAUCACAGGGUUUACCUGGCAAUUACCUGAAAGCUAAUGACCACCUUGUCACUGCCCUGUCAUGUGACACAAGAUGGCAAAGCCUCUGACCGGGGCCCUUUCUGAUUGUCGGGGACACAAACAAGCAGCCUACUGGUGUAGGAAUAGCCCACCGGUGUUUGCACGUGGCAUUUGCAUUGUCAUCAAAACAAAAGAAGAGCGCACAGUCGCACACCCACGUACAAUGUGUGUAUCACACUAAUGCAGCACGGCGUCAUUCAACAAGGUGUUAGUGUGUGGGAUGGUUCAUUUCGCAAGAUAAAGAUAAAAUAUAAUUUUAGUAUUAUUAUGGCUGUAAUCCAUCCAUCCAUUCAUCCAUCAUCAUCUAACCACUUAUAGGGUUAGGGAUGUCUAGCAGCAUAUUAUGUGUAAAACAUAUAUAUUAAUGCCAGCUUAAAUGGGAGAUCUGGAAAUUAGAAGAGGUUUUUGACUUUUGACCAGUUAACUACUAAUGUGAAAUCGCGAAUACAUGCCACCUUUUCAGAAAUCAGGCAAAAGAAGAAAACAACAACUUAUACAAACCAAAAUCUAAAAGGUCACAUUAGUUUAGGGACAGCCUGUAAUUUUGUUACUCUCAAUACAGAUGCACAAUUAGGUAGCGUUCAAUCGGUUCCCACAUUCCAAGACACACUUGUGGUUCACAACAUGUGGUUGCCAUGGCAAGGAAAGUCUACUGGUCUCCAAGGUACCAAGUCUAUUGUCUAAUGUUUCCUUAUUUAGAAAAAAGGGAUCAUUUGUCAAUGGCAAUACAUGGGUAUUAUGGGAUGGGUUGUGGGCAAUAUUUCCUGCUAAGUUUCACCAUUGAAUAGUCAGUUGAAUCUUUGUUUAAUGAUUAUAAUUUUAUGGGUAAUUUCUAUUCAUCUAACAUCACAGGUUCCAGGAAGUAUGCACACUUACUUACAGUAUGUAUGUGUCAAUGGUUAGUAUUUCCAUUCCACUGUAGUUUAUGUACACCCAACUUUAUGGGUAAAAGCCCGCAUUUGACUGAAUGACAGAAUUAGCCCUUCCAAAGUUCCACUUCUGUCCCCUAUGCAAAAGCCUCAUAUUAUAAUGAGCUGUGGUUUUGCACCGGAGUCAGAGCCAUGGCAAAAAGUCAGCUGACAACGUUUCAGGGAGGGGGUAGGGCCUUGCUCUGUAGAGAUGGCUUGGAAACAAACGUCUGCUCUGCUACUGUAUGUCACAAGAAGUUCACUUACUGUACAUCAAGGAAGAAACAAACAGCUUAGAGUAAAAUAACCACAGGCAGUGCUAAGCCAUUCACACAAAUUCGUUGUUUUUCAAAAGCAUUCUGCAUGUUUCUUGUCCUGUGGUUUUGCUUCAAUGACUAGAUUUGCAAAACAGGAAGUGAUGUCGAGUGCUCUGUGAUAUCACAGCACUUAGACAGAGAAUAGUCUGCUGACGGCUGGAAAGAGGAAAUGGUCUGUUUCAUUUUCUCGCGCAGCGUCAGCGCCACUCGCAUGCUAACAAACAUGUGUACUUAUUUAAGACCAGGGGCCGAAAUAAACUAAUCGUGUGGUCUCUAUGGCACCUAUCUGCCUAAAAUGCGGGCUGUCACCCAUGUUGUUGAUCUCCAUCCUCAAAUAACAUUUUCCUUGGCAGAGUACAUUAGAGCACUUCUUUUUUUUAAAUGUCACAAUGUUGAAUGGCCUCUUUUUGUAUUUUGGUCUGUUACCAAACCGUCUGCCUCUCAAGGCUAUUGCUCGUCUGCAGAAACAUCCUCUUCGCGUUACAGUCUUUCUGUUAAAGUCUAAUUGCAGCAUAUUUUAAGGGCUUUGUUUAAGUCCGUUUGCUUGUUUUUGUUUAUGUAACUAAAGACAAUUCGGAAUAUAUAACGUUUGCGGCUCGAAAGUGACGGGGGGCCUCAGGCGGGAUUGUGCCGCGCUUCCCUGCGGGGUGACAACGUCGCGGGCUGCCGUGCCGUGUGACAGGACUCUGGUCCUUUGACGA